AGAGGCACCUGAUCAAUUAUUUCUUGCAUGCCAGUGUUUCUCUCUCUCUCUUCCUUUCCCUCUCUCUAAAAAUAAAAUCUUUUAAAAAUUGUUUAUUUAGUGCUUGCUCUGCCUAUCUUACAGGGCCAUAGAAAAGUAAUGGAUAAGGGCUAUACAAAUGUGAUGACAGUAGUGUUAUUUAUUAAUAAGUUUGAACACUGCUCUGGCUGGGUUGCUUGGUUGGAGUGUUGUCUCUAAAGGCAAAGGCUGUGGGUUUGAACCCCAUUCAGGGCACAAACAAGCAUCAACCAAUGAAUGUCUGUAAAUAAGUAGAACAACAAACCAAUGUUUCUCUCUCAAGUCAAUAAAUAAAAUGAAAUAACCUAGAACACUUAUGGCACGUGACUUGUUGAUUCAGAACAUUUUUAAAAAUGAAAAGUUACUAUGGCAGAGGAAUUAUUUAAGCUAAACAGGUAAUGCUUGACCAAUUUUAUUAUAAUCAGUAAAUAUUAAGAAAUACUGCUUUCUCUUUUUCUUUGCUUUUCCUUUCCUGUCUCUGUUUUUUUUGGUGUAGGUAUACUAUAGAUUUAAGAGGAAAAAAUCAUGCGUGUGCAUAUAAUUUUAUUUUUUCAGUGAUAGGAUUAUAGUAAUUAUUUUAACUAGAAAACUGCUGAGCUAGUGUCUAAUCCAGAAUUCUGUCAAUUUUUAACUUGUCAUUUUUUUUUGUUAUAAUAAUUAAUUUGGUGGUUGAUGUUCUGCCAUAAAUGAAGGGUGGCAGGUGAGAAAAAGUAGAAGAGAGGUGAGGUAUAAGGGAAAGGAAUGUGGGAUUAAAAAGAAAAGAGAGAAACAAAAAGGGACAAAGGUCGUCAGAAGGUGAAAUAAAGAUCAGGAAAUAACUACCAGCCUCUUAAGGCAUAUGACU